AGUUUUGUGCAGUGGCAGUAUCGUAGCCAAGGAGGUUUAUCCGAGGCAUGAUUAUUGCUAAUUGAAAACAAAACAAAUUCCACAGUAAUUUUACUCAAAUAUUGA
rnacentral:snRNA from 1 species